rnacentral:lncRNA from 1 species
CAUUUACUGAGGUCGAAACCAGAAAAUUGUGUACUGCCCCCCUCUGCCACUGUUGUCUUUGGGGAGGAGCCUUUUCGGCAAAUCUCGAGUCCUUGCAUCCGUGGUUGGGUCGAGUAGGAGGAGUCUUCAAAAGAAAUCGUUUUACAAGUAGGACGAUUUAUGGAGGCAGGCUGCUUUCCUUCUUCUAUGGUGUUAUGGACAGACCCUCGGACGAGACGGUGACGGGAUAUCAUGACCUCGACAUGGUGCACCAUGUCUUUGCAAAGGUCACUAAGGAUAUUGAUACGUUUGCGAAACGGCUCGAGCCAAGUGUCUAUGCUCAGCGUGGUUGCUUUGUUGAUUCCCGGCUUCAACACCCUGAUAUCGUCACUAUUUUGAAUCACGGAACGGGUUUUUGUCGAAUCUGAAGGGGGUGGACUACGAGCGUACCUCCGAGAUGGUGAAGACGAGGUUACGACCGCAACGCACGAGCUUUGGUUGCUUGACGUCAACCGUUCUGUUAUUUCCACGCUAACGGGUGGAGGCAGCGGAGUACCGUUGCUAUGACAGAGAAGUCCCCCUCUCUUAGUGAGGUUGUUCUCUUCUAUCCGUAUGACUCUUUCCUGCUUCCUUGGGAAGGUAGAUAAACUACUUCUGCCUAACACGCCGUUUCUCAUUCUGCCGUGAGACAGCUGCGGUUGGGCAUCUCCCAAAGGAAGUGCUCGAGGCGUGAGUGCCUCAUCUGCAGUAUCGUUUUCUUGAGAUGAGUAUGACCCCCAUGGGGCGGUAUACUCGUCUCGUUUUUUUUCUCUAUGAAUGGCACAGACGGUCGUACAUGGCAC